CACAUGCAAGUCGAGGGGCAGCGGUAUCGAAAGCUUGCUUUCGGUAGCCGGCGACCGGCGCACGGGUGAGUAACGCGUAUCGAACCUGCCUCAUACUCGGGAAUAGCCUUGCGAAAGUAAGAUUAAUGCCCGGUGUUUUCAGAGUCCCGCAUGAGGCUUUGAACAAAGAUUUAUCGGUAUGAGAUGGCGAUGCGUCCCAUUAGCUUGUUGGCGGGGUAACGGCCCACCAAGGCAUCGAUGGGUAGGGGUUCUGAGAGGAAGGUCCCCCACAUUGGAACUGAGACACGGUCCAAACUCCUACGGGAGGCAGCAGUGAGGAAUAUUGGUCAAUGGGCGGAAGCCUGAACCAGCCAAGUAGCGUGCAGGAAGACGGCCCUCCGGGUUGUAAASUGCUUUUAGUUGGGAAUAAAACGGGGCUCGUGAGCCCCCUUGCAUGUACCAUCAGAAAAAGGACCGGCUAAUUCCGUGCCAGCAGCCGCGGUAAUACGGAAGGUUCGGGCGUUAUCCGGAUUUAUUGGGUUUAAAGGGAGCGCAGGCGGACCUUUAAGUCAGCUGUGAAAUACGGCGGCUCAACCGUCGAACUGCAGUUGAUACUGGAGGUCUUGAGUGCACACAGGGAUGCUGGAAUUCAUGGUGUAGCGGUGAAAUGCUCAGAUAUCAUGAAGAACUCCGAUCGCGAAGGCAGGCAUCCGGGGUGCAACUGACGCUGAGGCUCGAAAGUGCGGGUAUCAAACAGGAGUAGAUACCCUGGUAGUCCGCACAGUAAACGAUGAAUACUCGCGGUUUGCGAUACAGUGUAAGCCGCCAA
rnacentral:rRNA from 1 species